UUAAUUAUUUAUAUUUUAUAUUAUAUUAUUGUUUUAAAAAUCAUCGGUUUCGGGUAAACUGGUUGGCGCUUAUUGACAGGGCGGAUGUGCUCGACUGCACCUGGCGCAUACUGAAGAGGGUGACUGCUAACUCCCUGGCAAAGAACCUCAAUUGGACAGGAGUCGAUGGAAAGACUUCACUGGCCACUCUCAAACUUGGAGAGGUCAUGAUUGAAACCUCUUCACGGCUAAAGCUGCAGAGAUGGAGGUUGUGGGGACCAUGAAGAGGUGGCUCCAGCUGGCAUCAGAUCGAGAGUGCGGGCGCAAGAGAAGACUUUUGAAAACUUUUGCAAAAAGAAGCCCUUUCCAGUAGAGGUUAUAUGAUGUUCCGAUCCAUCUUUUCACACUGAGGACAACCGAGGGACUCGUACACGACUAUUCCAAAAGGUGCAAACAUUCACUGAUGCUCAAGAAGGUAACAGCAUGCAUUAAGAGCCUGGCUGUAAACGUUGUAAACAGGAUGAUCAUGUAAAUUUUUUUGUCUUCUGGGAUACUUCUUCUAUGCUGUAUUAACCAUCUUUCUGUAAUAAACCUUUUUCACCUCAGAGGACGAGUCUGCAAGUGUUGUCUAAUUUCACAACUAAUCACAACUCAGUUUUUACAUUUUUUUAUUUUAUUUUUAAGAAAAUAAUUAAAAUUCAAUAACCUUUUGACUGUAUGAGGUACCCGUAAAUGAGAAAAAACAUAGUACUACUUUCAUAAAAUGUCAUGUGCAGCUUGAUGGUAAUUAUAGUAAUGUAUAGUAAUUCUGAGUCUUGAACAGUAAACUCUCAAGUGUCAUUGUCAUGUCACAGCAAACCAGCGACUCCGUUUCCCAGAAUGCACCUCAGACUACAAACAUGGCAAACACAAACUACAACUCCAAACCAACACACCGACAUUGUUAACAGAAUACUAAUCAGACAAACCUGUUACCAAUGAACCUACUACAUUAGAGAAGGAAAUACUGGAUGUGAAGUGCAGUAGUGCUAGUGUGUGUGAAUAGACUAUCAGUUUAGAUACUGACCCUGAACACUACUAACAUGCAGUGCUUUCUUGGGGUGGUGAUGAAGUUGGAGUUGAACCGGUAAGAAAGAUAUUAGAGAGAGGCUUCUUUACACUCCUGAGGAUGUUCAAUUAGAACCUGCACCAAACUCACCUGAUUCAAGUCAUCAGCUAAUUAAGCGGCCUGCACGAGCUGAGGUGGGUGCUUUAGAGCAGAUAAAACACUAAAUGUGUUAGAUAAGAGUUCAGAGCCUGUGUUCUAGACACAUGAUUUAGAGUGGAGACUUAGGCUUAGACCUUAGGCUUUGGAGUUAUUCUGAAUAU